CUGAAGACCGGACCCUGUGUCUCGUGCAUGCUUGGUGAGCACACUAUCAUUGAGCCACAACCCCAGAUCCACGUCAGUAGCUUCUAGUGACUUAUUUCAUUUAUCAAAGUCUGCUUUAUGUUUUUCCUUAUUAUAGCUCUUACAAAAUUUCCUACCUUUUGGACUUGAAAAAUAUUCUGUAGUUUAUAUAUUUUAAAUUUUCUUAUUUACUUAUUUCAAGGAAUAUUUUGUUUGCUUUGACAUGAUGUCUCUUUUGAAUAAUAUUUUAACAAUUGCAGAUGUCUUAAUUUGCUAUAAACUUUGGGUUUACUACCAUACUCACCUAGAAUUCUAUAUGCCUAGUGGUCUUAUUGCCAGUAUUAACUAUUGAAUAUUGUAGCUUUUUAAGUCAGAACAUUGUUCCAAUUUGGUUGUGUUUUGAAUAUUUUUGAGUUAUUCAUAACAAUUUGUAGAAUAUCUUUUUUCUCUUUUUGGGAAAAAUAACAUUUGGAGUUUAAUAGAUAUUGCAUGAACUUCCAGAAAACUUUGAGGAGUAGAAAUAUCUUUUAAUUUUGCCCUUCAAUUCAUGAAAAAGACCAAAUCAACUAAUUAUGAAAUAUUUAUGCAUUUUCUAACAUCACUUUCACUUUUUAAAAAAUAUUUUUUUACUUUUAGUUGGACACAAUAUUUAUUUCUAUGUCGUGCUGAGGAUCUAACCCAGUGCUUCACAGGUGCAAGGUGGGUGCUCUACCACUGAGCUACAACCCCAGUCCCUCUUUCACUUUUGAUUUUAAUUUUAUUCCAUAAUAUGUAGGAAAUGUUAAUAUUUUCAUAUAUAUUAACUUUUUAUAACCUGAGUUGUUCUAUCCAGUAUAAUAUUUCAUUUGCUAUUGAGAACAUUACUUUUGUAAAUGUAAUUUGUUCAAAAUAGUUUUUCUGAGUCUUUUUUUUUUUUCUGUUUGGUGAUUGCCGUUUUGUUUGACUUUACAAGAAGCUAGAUAUUGUGUCUCCUAGUACUACAAUGUUAUUUCAUACUACAAUGUUAUUUCCUAUUUUGUUAUCCAAUUUUUUCAAUAUUUGCUUUCUAUAUUUGGGAAGUAUGAUGUGAGUUACAAGUGUUCCUACUGUUAUUGUAGUAAUGGAGGGGGGAAAAAGUUUUCAUUUUUAAGUUUAAUUAAUGUACUUUGGUAAUGGGGAUUGAGGCCAAGGGUGCUGAACCACUGCUCCAAAUCUCUGGUCCUUUUUAUAUUUUAUUUUGAGACAUGAUUUCCCUAACUUGCUUGGGGCCUUUCUAAGUUGGUGAGGCUGGUUUGAGCUUCCUUAAGCAGCUUCCUUAGCUGCUGGGUUUUCAGGUGUGUGCUAGAGCACCUAGCUACUUUCAUCGUCAUAUAAUUUUCUAGUCUACCUGUCACAGUUUCUUUAUUAAAAAUCUGUUUUGCCCCAUGUAACUGUUAUUUCAAACUAUGUUUUCCAUAUUGUAAUUUUCUUAUUCCAUUUGGUUAAUGUUGUAUGCGAUAUUCUCAUAUUCUUUUGCAUUUUAUUUGUGUUCUUACACUUAAAGCAUUUUAUAC
rnacentral:lncRNA from 1 species